GGAUCCCUAUGGGGCGCAGCAGUGAGGAAUAUUGGUCAAUGGGCGGGAGCCUGAACCAGCCAAGUCGCGUGAGGGAUGACGGCCCUAUGGGUUGUAAACCUCUUUUGCCGGGGAGCAAAGUGCCGCACGUGUGCGGUUUGGAGAGUACCCGGAGAAAAAGCAUCGGCUAACUCCGUGCCAGCAGCCGCGGUAAUACGGAGGAUGCGAGCGUUAUCCGGAUUUAUUGGGUUUAAAGGGUGCGUAGGCGGACUGUCAAGUCAGCGGUAAAAUACGGGGGCUCAACCUCCGCCCGCCGUUGAAACUGA
rnacentral:rRNA from 1 species